AGUUUUACGACGAAGAAAGAUAGUGUAGUCCAGUGUCCAGUUUUCUUCCCGUUUCGUGUAGUAAAUCCAAUAGAAAUUGAUGAACCAGAUUAUGUUGACAAGUUUUCACGCAAAGAUUGAACCUCCAGACGAAAAACGAAAAAUAUUCUUAACCCUUGAAAAAGAUGGCAUAGCCCAUUGAAACGUCGGGCGUAAGAAAGAUAUUUUCGUUUCAAUCGCUUAACAGACUGAAAGCCGAAAAAUCCCCUGUGAA